CAUUCAAAUUUCUGCCCUAUCAACUUUCGAUGGUAGGAUAGUGGCCUACCAUGGUGGCAACGGGUAACGGGGAAUUAGGGUUCGAUUCCGGAGAGGGAGCCUGAGAAACGGCUACCACAUCCAAGGAAGGCAGCAGGCGCGCAAAUUACCCAAUCCCGAUACGGGGAGGUAGUGACAAUAAAUACUGAUACGGGGCUCUUUUGGGUCUCGUAAUUGGAAUGAGAACAAUUUAAAUCCCUUAACGAGGAACAAUUGGAGGGCAAGUCUGGUGCCAGCAGCCGCGGUAAUUCCAGCUCCAAUAGCGUAUAUUAAAGUUGUUGCAGUUAAAAAGCUCGUAGUUGAACCUUGGGUCUGGCUGGCCGGUCCGCCUCACCGCGAGUACUGG
rnacentral:rRNA from 1 species